rnacentral:lncRNA from 1 species
UCCUCUCUUUUGCAGCGUUCUCCGUCGACUCUCUUCUCCUCGUCUCUCUCUCCCUACAACUUGCACUACUCCAUCACGAUUUGAUUCCGAGCACCACUCCAUCAAGGCCAAAGUUCGUCGCGACGAGCAAGCGAGAUCUGAUCUUCUACCCUCUUGACGAGCGAGCGAAUCCAAGAUCCGAGCAAUCCGAGCGCUUUGUCCCGAUAGGCUUCGAGGAAGGCGAGCAAAGACUCUUCCUCUGCCUCCCCCCCUCUCUCUCUCUCUAGAACUGCAUCCCUCGCUUUCUCUCUCUUC